rnacentral:rRNA from 1 species
AGAGUUUGAUCCUGGCUCAGAGCGAACGCUGGCGGCAGGCUUAACACAUGCAAGUCGAGCGGGCGUAGCAAUACGUCAGCGGCAGACGGGUGAGUAACGCGUGGGAACGUACCUUUUGGUUCGGAACAACCCAGGGAAACUUGGACUAAUACCGGAUAAGCCCUUACGGGGAAAGAUUUAUCGCCGAAAGAUCGGCCCGCGUCUGAUUAGCUAGUUGGUGAGGUAACGGCUCACCAAGGCGACGAUCAGUAGCUGGUCUGAGAGGAUGAUCAGCCACAUUGGGACUGAGACACGGCCCAAACUCCUACGGGAGGCAGCAGUGGGGAAUAUUGGACAAUGGGCGCAAGCCUGAUCCAGCCAUGCCGCGUGAGUGAUGAAGGCCCUAGGGUUGUAAAGCUCUUUUGUGCGGGAAGAUAAUGACGGUACCGCAAGAAUAAGCCCCGGCUAACUUCGUGCCAGCAGCCGCGGUAAUACGAAGGGGGCUAGCGUUGCUCGGAAUCACUGGGCGUAAAGGGUGCGUAGGCGGGUCUUUAAGUCAGGGGUGAAAUCCUGGAGCUCAACUCCAGAACUGCCUUUGAUACUGAAGAUCUUGAGUUCGGGAGAGGUGAGUGGAACUGCGAGUGUAGAGGUGAAAUUCGUAGAUAUUCGCAAGAACACCAGUGGCGAAGGCGGCUCACUGGCCCGAUACUGACGCUGAGGCACGAAAGCGUGGGGAGCAAACAGGAUUAGAUACCCCUGUAGUCC